UGCCAGACUCCUACGGGAGGCAGCAGUGGGGGAUAUUGCACAAUGGGGGAAACCCUAAUGCAGCGACGCCGCGUGAGUGAAGAAGUAUUUCGGUAUGUAAAGCUCUAUCAGCAGGGAAGAAGAUGACAGUACCUGAGUAAGAAGCCCCGGCUAACUACGUGCCAGCAGCCGCGGUAAUACGUAGGGGGCAAGCGUUAUCCGGAUUUACUGGGUGUAAAGGGAGCGUAGACGGUUAUGUAAGUCUGGAGUGAAAGCCCGGGGCCCAACCCCGGGACUGCUUUGGAAACUGUGUAACUAGAGUACAGGAGGGGCAGGCGGAAUUCCUGGUGUAGCGGUGAAAUGCGUAGAUAUUAGGAGGAACACCAGUGGCGAAGGCGGCCUGCUGGGCUUUUACUGACGCUGAGGCUCGAAAGUGUGGGGAGCAAACAGGAUUAGAUACCCCAGUA
rnacentral:rRNA from 1 species